rnacentral:sRNA from 1 species
GUACAGCUAGAUCCAUACCCCUAAACUCCCUAGAUAUGGCCGGUGUUCCGUUGAACACCGGCCGCUUUUU